rnacentral:rRNA from 2 species
UACGGAGGGUGCAAGCGUUAUCCGGAUUCACUGGGUUUAAAGGGUGCGUAGGCGGGUAUAUAAGUCAGUGGUGAAAGCUCCGAGCUUAACUUGGAAACUGCCAUUGAUACUGUAUAUCUUGAAUGUCGUAGAGGUUAGCGGAAUGUUGCAUGUAGCGGUGAAAUGCUUAGAUAUGUUACAGAACACCAAUUGCGAAGGCAGCUAACUAUGCGAUAAUUGACGCUGAGGCACGAAAGCGUGGGGAGCAAACAGG